rnacentral:lncRNA from 1 species
UCAAACAAAUUAAAAUGAUAUGAUGUCUUCUUAAGGUUGUAAACUUUAGUUUUGAUUUGUGUAUUUUGAUAUUUCUUAUAGGUAGGCAUCGUUGGUAUAAUGUAUACCCAGUGACUGUAGGCUCACACCGGUCUCCUUUUAAUUUAUUCCAGCUAGUCACUGGGUUUUGCCGCAGCGCCAGUAUGAACCUAUCAGCAGGCUCUUUUUCUACAUCACGGAUUCUCACUCCUAAACCCAAACACUGAGGUUUCCAUCAAAUGACGACCCUCUGUUCUCAUAAAUCAUCUGUCACCUUAGACCAGGCAGAUUGGGACUUUCAGUCCCUGCGUAGGCAAAGAUUUGUGCCUCUACUAACCCCAAAGAAGUUGUAGGUGCCAAAUCUUCAGCUUCCAUAAAGUCUUUAAAUUACGUGCUCACAGUCUCAGAGGAGAAAAUACCAACAGUGUAAAAGACAGGGAAGGUACAGAGACACCGGGAAGGGGAGGAGCCCUUUAAUCCAGAGCGUGCUUGAAGCCUUCUGAAGUAAAAUAAGGUAGAAGAUGUAAUCAUUAGAUAUCUAUUUGCUGACUUAUUUAGUGAUUUACUUAAAGCACUGUACUGCCAUUUGCCAAGCAUGGCUUCCCUUGCUACCUGAGAGAAAGAGAUGAAACAACGGGCCGUUGCCCUUAACAACCUUGGGACCGCCACAGACGCUGCUGUAAAACCUCCCUUGAUUGCUCGCUCCACAUUAUGGUUUUAAUGAAUAGAACGAGAAUGAAAACUGCACCCGUACUGAAGCUGUCCUGGCUUCAGCCCACCAAUGACAUCUCCUCCCUUCCACUCUCCUUGGUGUCAGAGUGCUUACUCCAGAACGAUUCCCACAACACUUUCUCGCCAGCUAGUGACGAAAACCACAACGUAAUUAGCAGCAUCUGCUUACUGCUAUCCUCCCUUGCCAGUCUCAAAGCUACAUCGCCAAAACCUCCGCAUGGAACUGCGUCCAUCCUAUUGGCUAGAGGUUCUGACUGAUUGUCAAAGCUCCAGCCCACUGUGGUGGUCCUGGGAAAUACAAGGAAGAGGGAGCCCUAAGCAACAAGCAAUGUUCUUCCAUGACCUCUGCUUCAGUUCCUGCUUCCAGAUUCCUGCUUGAGAGUUCCUGCUGUGACUUUUCUCAGUGAUGGACUGUGAUGUAGACACAUUAGCCAAAUAAGCCUUUUUCAUUGCCAGUUGGUGAGUGUUUUGUCACAUCAACAGAAAUCAAACUA